GUGCUCCCUUCAGCAGCACAUAUACUAAAUCAGGAAAGAUACAGUAGAGAUUAGCAUGGCCUCUCUGCAAGGAUGACACACAAAUUCGUGGGGCAUUCCCUAUUUUA
rnacentral:snRNA from 1 species